AUUGAACGCUGGCGGAAUGCUUUACACAUGCAAGUCGAACGGCAGCACGGACUUCGGUCUGGUGGCGAGUGGCGAACGGGUGAGUAAUACAUCGGAACGUGCCCAGUCGUGGGGGAUAACGUAGCGAAAGCUACGCUAAUACCGCAUACGAUCUAAGGAUGAAAGCGGGGGGCCGUAAGGCCUCGCGCGAUUGGAGCGGCCGAUGGCAGAUUAGGGAGUUGGUGGGGUAAAGGCUCACCAAGCCGACGAUCUGUAGCUGGUCUGAGAGGACGACCAGCCACACUGGGACUGAGACACGGCCCAGACUCCUACGGGAGGCAGCAGUGGGGAAUUUUGGACAAUGGGCGCAAGCCUGAUCCAGCCAUUCCGCGUGCGGGAUGAAGGCCCUCGGGUUGUAAACUGCUUUUGUACGGAACGAAAAGGCUCUGGUUAAUACCUGGGGCUCAUGACGGUACCGUAAGAAUAAGCACCGGCUAACUACGUGCCAGCAGCCGCCGUAA
rnacentral:rRNA from 1 species